CCCUUAGAUGUCCUGGGCUGCACGCGCGCUACACUGUCGGAUUCAGCGAGUCAUAUCCUUAACCGAAAGGUUUGGGUAAUCUUUUGAAAGUCCGACGUGAUGGGGAUUGAUCAUUGCAAUUAUUGAUCAUGAACGAGGAAUUCCUAGUAAGCGCGAGUCAUCAGCUCGCGUUGAUUACGUCCCUGCCCUUUGUACACACCGCCCGUCGCUACUACCGAUUGAAUGGUUUAGUGAGAUCUUCGGAUUGGCGCCUACGCGGCUUCUCUGAGGCCACGCUGGAUGCCGAAAAGUUGCUCAAACUGUAUCAUUUAGAGGAAGUAAAAGUCGUAACA
rnacentral:rRNA from 1 species